rnacentral:rRNA from 1 species
UACAGAGGUCCCAAGCGUUGUUCGGAUUCAUUGGGCGUAAAGGGUGCGUAGGCGGCCGGUUGCGUCUGCUGUGAAAUCCCGGGGCUUAACCCCGGGCGUGCAGUGGAUACGGGCUGGCUGGAGGCAGGCAGGGGAGAAUGGAAUUCCCGGUGUAGCGGUGAAAUGCGCAGAUAUCGGGAGGAACACCGGUGGCGAAGGCGGUUCUCUGGGCCUGUACUGACGCUGAGGAGCGAAAGCGUGGGGAGCGAACAGG